GUUCUAGUUCUGCCUGAGGUAUGGCCUACACUACUGACUCUGAGGCGAAGUUUGCAGCCAAAGAGAGGGUUUAUCCUCCAAAAAGCCAAGCAAGAAGACAGGAAGACAAACCUCAAAUCUGCUUUCCUGGAAGGCCAGGGGCUGCAGUAUUUCUGGGAUAAGGAACAAAGUAGUAAGCACUCUGUGGAGCGAGGAAUCGUCAAGCCGUGACUGGAAAAAAAAAGUGGCUUUUUUGUUUUUUUUUGGUGCAGGCUCCUGAGGCUACGGGUUCCUGCAGGGAUCAAAACAUCGCCCAGCGGGCAUGCGCCUGCGCAGUGGAGGGUGGGUGGGCCUAUCCAGUGUUAACCCACUCAGCUCCAACAAGGCACAGGUGAGUCCAAGUUUCUAGACGAUUCGGGCAAACGUUGUUUAGGUUACUUGCCCCUAGAAGCAUGUGCAAGUUGCAAAUGACCUUGAUUAGUGAAGGACCUGUUUUCAACUGGAGUUGCUGAGGCCGGGCAGAAUGUACCCCAAUAUUUUAAUUUCUUCCCAUCCUACCAGGAGGAACCCCGCACCCUCUCCUCCACCACAGCGUUUGCCACUGUCAUAGUCUGCUUUCUGCCCCAAGACUGUCUUCCUUAGGGGCUAAGGUUCAAGUUCCAGCAACAUUUCCUGGGUGCUCGCUGGUUCCCACCGCCAUGCUCCUCCUCCACAGCCCUGAGAGACAUCGUCCUCCCCGUCCCAGAGAUGACGCGGAACAGGUCCCAACGCCGACGCACAGCAGGUGCCAGGCCAGGGAGAAGGUUCUGGAGAAUACACACUGAGUGGGGAGACUGAGAGCUCAUCGUUUUGUCUGUGAUGCUGCUAGAUACGGGUCUGGUUUGUCUCAAGUUUGAUGUUGCCAUGAUGCUCAGUGUUAUCUGCCAGCCCUUCAGAAAAAC
rnacentral:lncRNA from 1 species